UUUAAUAAUGAUAGAUAAACUAGGAUUCCCUCCGACUUUUGUCAAGGAAACAAUUUCUUUUAGUAGACAUGGAUUGCUGCUCUCCACCCAACCUAGCCAAACUUUUUUUUGUGAACUCCUAAAACAAGUGGUUUUGACAAUCUUUCCAUAUCUUUUAAAGUUCUUAGCAUUCAUGAUGAUGGUUCCUCUUCGAAUCACAAUUCCUUGGAGCGGUUUUUCAACUAUAGCUCAAGAAGUUAUGGAUGCUAUACCAAGAUAUGGAGCUGCACUCAUGAAUCUGGACAGGAUUUCUUUCGAAUACUACACCUAGAAUAGUUUGGCAAAUCAAGGAAACUCAUUAUUGGUCAAUGAAGCUAACUUUGCACCACAACGAGAGGGAGAUGCUUCUUCUUUGAAGUCAGUAAUCAAAAUCCUUUCUUUGGUCCAUCGAAUCAACCAGGGCCUUCUAAUGUUUGGUCUCAUAUUGAUUUCUUGCCAAGCUAUGGUUUUCUUACUGAUCAGGUUAUGAGUGAAGAACUUGCAGACCUGCUGCAGCUAAAGCAUCCUAGGAUUAUAAGAGAUGUAUUUGUAAAGGUCUCAUCUUUUCCCUAAUGAAAGACCGUUAUGGAUGGCACGCCUUUAUACAUUGAUUAAAGCUUGGAAGAAUCAUCAACUUGAACUUAUUGAAGAAAGAUCAGCUUAAACUCCAACUUGUUUCUCGACAUAGCAAUAUGUAGAGUCGGGUCAGAGGCAGUUUGGAGUUAUAUUACAGUGCCUAGAUGUCCUUCAACUCGAGCAAAAUGAGGUAAAUUGAUGCUCUCCUUUUGAGGUCUUCUUCUUAUGACAUAGAACAUAUAAGCUGAAACUUAAUAGAUGUGAUCCUGCAAUAUCUUGUAUCUUAGUCUUCUUAGCAGAUUCAAUCCACAAUUACAAUGAAAAGAGCCAGUGAUGGUGUGAUUGCAUUCGGACACUAGCAGCUAAUUGUUCCUCUUGGUUCAAGUAUUUCCCAGUUAAUCAAAUGUACUUUCAUGUUAAACAUAAUACAACCCUUACGCGUUGUCAGACAGCAUACUGAAUUUAGCACAAAAUUAUGUGUAUUUGAUGUUAAACAGUCCACAUCACCCUUUUCUGAAAACACCUUGAUCUGUCGUUUGUUGUCUUAAAGUCUGACUGUUGUUUUGCAAAAACACAAUUUGCGUAAUAUGAUUACAGUUGCUAUUUAGACAAGCCAUGGAGUAUUGUCCGAAGUUGGCAAUGGAUCAACGAGGAUGUGUCUCCUUGAAACCUUUCAUCCUCCACAGCAAAGGUUACUACAAGAACGCACUUCUAGAACUCAUCUGCAGCCAUGGAGUAUACCUCUCACAAGACCCUCUAAGGUCAUGUCAUACACCAGCACUCAACACAUCUAUUGGAAUCAUAACACAAGGAAACUUCCAUAGCAGUUGAGUUUGAUUAAUGUUUUAUGAUAGAAACGAUAGAUACAGGAAAACAAAAAACAAAAUAAAUAUAUUUUUGAGAUAGUAAAAGAAUACAUCUCUUUUAUUUUUACUUUUUGUUUUUUUACUACGAGAUACUAACUAAACGCAAAUGAGACUAAUAUGCUAUCAUAAAUUGAAAGUAGAACAUCUAAUUUCAUUGAAAAAGAACAGAAAAAUGACACUCUUAAACGCAAUCAAGCAUUUGUUCACCACUUAAGAGUUAAGAUCAUUAGAGAGUAUAAAACUGUAUUUUCUAGUUCAUGACCUUUGUUUAUGAAAAAUGAGUUGGGCCCUGAAAAAAGGGGUACCAGAUAGUAAUAACCAGGCCCAUCGUUGGCUAAUGCAAGCUAGAAAACCUCACGACACUCUGUCGGCUAUCUUCUAACCCUCACAUCACCAUCAGCCGCACGAUAUCCAUCCAACAGUCCAGAUUAAUCCACAAACCUCUAUAAGUUGUCCCAGCCACUAGGGUUUUAGUCAUCUACUCAUCUUUACAUUGCCUUCUCUGCCUGCCUGCCUCUCAGCUGCAGCCUCUCUCGCACUUGCUUUCAACUUCUUUUAGCUUCAUACACUUCAAAGUUCUGAUCUUUUUUUCCUGAUUUUCAAAACAAAACCCAGUUCUUUGUUUCCAUUACUUAGCACGUUAAGAGUUCAAAGAUCUGACUUUUAUGCUUGAUAGACUUAAAAGGUUUAGACUUUUUACUGUUUGCUAAAUACCAGUUCGUUUUUUUUUUGUUGAUUAGCACUUGAAAACUUCAAAUAUUUAAUCUUUGUUAGUUUUAUGAAAUUUGAUUUUGUAAAUCAAAGUCGUGUUCUUAUCCUAUUCUUUAUUAUUCUUGUUUAACUCUUAAUCAUGUUUUUUUUUGUUAAACGUGACGGGGAUUUUUACUUCAAAUCCUUACUAUAUAAUUGGAGCAAACGAUUUAAAUCAAUGUUUGUAUAUUCCAAAGUAAAACGUCACAAAGAAAAUCCCAGGCAUGUCGAGGUCCUCCACCGCGAGCUCCUCCGUGUAAUGGGAUGGUCUCAUAUUCCAUUGCCUUGUGUAGCGGCGUCGCUGCCAUUACAAUUUGGGACUGGCCAUGAGGCAAACAUUUA